rnacentral:rRNA from 1 species
UACAGAGGUCUCAAGCGUUUGUUCGGAUUCAUUGGGCGUAAAGGGUGCGUAGGCGGCGCGGUAAGUCGGGUGUGAAAUCUUGGAGCUUAACUCCGAAACUGCAUUCGAUACUGCCGUGCUUGAGGACUGGAGAGGAGACUGGAAUUUACGGUGUAGCGGUGAAAUGCGUAGAUAUCGUAAGGAAGACCAGUGGCGAAGGCGGGUCUCUGGACAGUUCCUGACGCUGAGGCACGAAGGCCCAGGGGGAGCAAACGGGG